rnacentral:lncRNA from 15 species
AUUACAGUACAGCUCAGUCAAGUUCAAUUGUGACAGUGUGACAUCAGGAUUUUAAUCAUGUUUAUUCUUCACAUAAUAAUCAGACUGUAGUAAAUAUUUAUUUUUACAAACAUGAAACUGACAGGUCCAAAACCAUCUUCUUUUAUUGUAGAUAUUGUGGAAAGAGAAUCAGGGAUGAUCCAGAGGCCAACAGUCACUAAGACCACAGGUAGUUUGACCUCAACUCACACAACUCUUAAGAAUCCAGCAUCUGAUGAUGAAAUAACAGCAGGUCGGACUGUUUCUACAUCAAGUGAAACUGAUAGUUCUGUCUCUACUUUCCUGACAUCAGUGAAACCAGAAAAAGGUAGUUUGACCUCUACUCAAACAACUCUUAAAAAUCAAGCAUCUGAUGAUGAAAUAACAGGUAAACCUAAUUCUUUUUUAAAUUUCACUUUGAAUAGUGCAUCAAAAUAC